rnacentral:rRNA from 1 species
CGCGUAGGCGGGUUUUUAAGUUGUGGGUGAAAUUCCGAGGCUCAACCUCGGAACUGCCUGCAAAACUGGGAGCCUUGAGGUAUGGAGAGGGAAGUGGAAUUCCUGGUGUAGCGGUGAAAUGCGUAGAUAUCAGGAGGAACACCCGUGGCGAAGGCGGCUUCCUGGCCAUAUCCUGACGCUGAGGUGCGAAAGCCAGGGUAGCGAACG